rnacentral:lncRNA from 1 species
CAAUCUCCUGAAGACACAUUUGAACUUGAAAUCUAUCUGAUGAAACCCCAAAGUCAUGGGUUUCCUGUACUACUCUGCACUGGCAAACCUGUGGUCUCGAUAGACAAUGGGUAAAUGUCAGUGUUUCAAAGGGAGAUCACACAGCUUGUGUUGUACAGGAGCGGAGGCCUAGAUACAGCCAUCAUUAGUCAGCUGUGGUUUUCUGCCAUAACACAGCAAGGCCCUCACUGCAAGUCUCUCUCACGUUACGACAUGGCCACUGAAUGCUGGCACAUGACAACUUCACCCUGACGCAGGGCUUUCUUAUCAGCCUGUUCAAGAGGGUGACAGACCUCAUGAGAAAGCUGGAUAUCGAAAUGAAGAGUAAGAGAUGAUAUUGAAGAGGAAAAAGAAGGCCAAAGGCACCUGUGUCUUGUGUCAGAGUGACCUCUUGGGCAGAGGUCAGGGAAGGUAAGCCCCCUAUAGUUCAGACAGACAAGAUAUCAGCAGUUUUCUAUUGUAUUCAUCACAUGAUACCUGCAGGUUGCAAUGUCAGCAACACUUUGGAAAUGUUUUUACAUGGGUUUUGCUCUGAAAGGACCUUAGAGAGAGAGAGAGAGAGAGAGAGAGAAAGAGAGAGAGAGAGAAAGAGAGAGACCCUAUAUUGGGGUCCUGGACUGAAUAGUGAUUGGGGAGAGAGAGAAAAGCUCCUCUCCUCUAACCCCCAUGUCAGUGUGUUCCCUCUAUCAUACUAAGCUCCUGGCCGAAGAAGACGGAGCUGGUUGCCAAGGAGACGCACCACCUUCAAGGAGGACGAGAGCUCUCGCAAAUCAACCCAUUUAUUCCUUACUGUGACGUGAGGACCAGUGAUAACAGUGACUAGUGUGUGGUAGUGUGUUUACUGGGAAGCCGUAUACUGUAGCCUCGUUUUUCAAGCCAGUACGUUCUUUCUCUCAAUGACUACUGCAUCACAUCUACUGCUUCCAGGCCAUAUCAGUGACAUACAGUUUGACUGUAACAGCCUCCUCCACUGCUCACCAUGUUAAUGCCAACUGUCCUGGCAGUAUGUUUCCCCCUCCCUUAGUGAUAAUGAAAUCACAGAGACUAUCCUCUUCCUCCCAUUGGCUGGGAAGCACCAUGGAGAUGCCCUCUGAUUGGUCAUACCCAGCAUGCACACUCGGCCAAUCAGGCUCACUGUAUCCAUGAGACUGAAGCAUGUUGGGCUAUUUAAAUCCAACCAGAGACACACAAGAUUGCUUAGAUGUACAUUUGUAUUUUUUUUAAAGCAGGGGGGAAAGGUUUGCGAGUGGACAAACGUUGCAAAUCGAGACAGACCUGCUCGCUGCAACGUGGUCGACACAUCUUCGGGGUUAAACUAACCCAGGGCGAAGCGUGAGUUGAAUGAAUGAAAGCAGAGUACCCAUUCAGCUGUGUCAGGGGGACACUGGGUAUUGGUUGUUCAUGCCACAGGAACGUGGUACAAACAAUGUUCUACAUCUCACAGAGGAGCAGCAUUCGAAAGAAAAGCACAGAAUGAAAAAGACGACGUAAGUCCGCUGCCAUUUUGUGUUCGCUCUUUUUUUAUUUGAACAACGUCACAUUUUCACUGACCAUAAAAUGGCGGAUAAUUCUUCUCCCGCCAGGUCAGCCAUUACGGUCGUUUCGAGAUUUGUUUUAGUUUAAUAUCAUCUGCAACAUAUGCCGUAAUGGUGACCAUAAUUUUGAUGGACUUUGGAAACACUUUUAAAAGAUUAGUAUUUUGUAAAUCAGAUUUCAUCCAAAUAUUUUUUGCAUUAUAAUGCAUUUUCUACAGCCUUAUCUUAAUUUCAAAGUAAACUACAUGUAUGACCCAUGUACAUUAAAAU